rnacentral:rRNA from 1 species
AAUCAACGCUGGCGGCGUGCCUAACACAUGCAAGUCGAACGCGAAAACCUCGCAAGGGGUGAGUAGAGUGGCAAACGGGUGAGUAACACGUGGGUGACCUGCCUUCGAGUGGGGGAUAACGUCCCGAAAGGGACGCUAAUACCGCAUAACAUCCUGCCUUUUAAGAGGUGGACAUCAAAGACUGGGGAUCGCAAGACCUAGCGCUGGAAGAGGGGCCCGCGCCUGAUUAGCUAGUUGGGGGGUAAUGGCUCACCAAGGCAACGAUCAGUAUCCGGCCUGAGAGGGCGGACGGACACACUGGGACUGAGACACGGCCCAGACUCCUACGGGAGGCAGCAGUGGGGAAUUGUUCGCAAUGGGCGCAAGCCUGACGACGCAACGCCGCGUGGAGGAUGAAGACC